UCAGAUUAGAGAUGCUCAACCAUUAAACACGUAUCCCAAACCCCCAAAUGUCAACUCCAAGCCCCAAAGCCAGCCAGUGAAGCUCUGGAAUCAGAAGCACAUGGGGCCAGGUGUGGACGAGGUGUGCUCGGCCUGUUCUGCGUUGUGCGGAAUCACACAUUGGGGUGGCUCCAGGCUCCUGACUACCGCUCAAUGCAAUGGCCAGUUUUCCAGAUGCCAUCUAGGCUCCUCACGGCUCAUGGGAACUCCAUGUAUCCUCCCAUGUCUGUCAACCCAUCCCAACCCUAUAACAGACCCACCUUCUAGCUUCCCUUCAUUUCUUUUUAAGGCAGGGUCUCUACAUAGCCCUACCUGUCCUGAAACUUGCUCUGUAACCAAGUAAAUUUACUUGCCUCUGCCUCUCAAGUGCUGGCAUU
rnacentral:lncRNA from 1 species